rnacentral:rRNA from 1 species
AAUCAGAAAGCCACGGCUAACUACGUGCCAGCAGCCGCGGUAAUACGUAGGUGGCAAGCGUUAUCCGGCAUUAUUGGGCGUAAAGCGCGCGUAGGCGGUGUUUUAAGUCUGAUGUGAAAGCCCACGGCUCAACCGUGGAGGGUCAUUGGAAACUGGAAAACUUGAGUGCAGAAGAGGAAAGUGGAAUUCCAUGUGUAGCGGUGAAAUGCGCAGAGAUAUGGAGGAACACCAGUGGCGAAGGCGACUUUCUGGUCUGUAACUGACGCUGAUGUGCGAAAGCGUGGGGAUCAAACAGGAUUAGAUACCCUGGUAGUCCACG